rnacentral:lncRNA from 1 species
GACCAACAGUAUAGGAUCUGGUCCUAUGGACCUGAGCAAAUUUUCCAAUUGGUUAAGAGCAUCUUCCUCACUUAAAAAAUCAGGCUCCAUCUGAUUCAGAUGAUGGAAUAGCCUUUGUACAAUAACCAUCAGGUUGGGUGAUUUUGAGACGACCACAAAGAAGAUAUUGCUCUUGUAUUUGUCUGUUCAUUGGCAUAAUCCCAUAUAAAAAUAUUGAAUGUUUUGGAAUUCUAUAUAUAGCAUUUCACGUAAAGAAAAUAUAAUGCAAGAAAGACUAUAGGCGAACACCCAAAUCCUAAUCUCGAAGGACACAAAACCGUAGGUUACAUUUCCCUCAUCACUCUUCCAAGAAUUUCCAACAAAUGAAUGGUCAAUUGAGCCUAAAACAUUAUCUGACAGCCAUAGAGGCUGAACACUUUGUAUAGAAAACCUUAAAUUUGCU